GGGCGCGUAGCUCAGCUGGGAGAGCAUCUGCCUUACAAGCAGGAGGUCACAGGUUCGAGCCCUGUCGCGCCCACCA
rnacentral:tRNA from 4 species